CUACGGGUCGCUGCAGUAGGGAAUAUUGGGCAAUGGGCGAAAGCCUGACCCAGCCAUGCCGCGUGUGUGAUGAAGGCCCUAGGGUUGUAAAGCACUUUCAAUGGUGAAGAUAAUGACGGUAACCAUAGAAGAAGCCCCGGCUAACUUCGUGCCAGCAGCCGCGGUAAUACGAAGGGGGCAAGCGUUGUUCGGAUUUACUGGGCGUAAAGCGCGUGCAGGCGGUUUGUUAAGUUAGAUGUGAAAGCCCAGGGCUCAACCCUGGAAUUGCAUUUAAUACUGGCAAACUUGAGUAUAGGAGAGGAGAACGGAAUUUCCAGUGUAGAGGUGAAAUUCGUAGAUAUUGGAAAGAACACCAGUGGCGAAGGCGGUUCUCUGGCCUAAUACUGACGCUGAGGCGCGAAAGCGUGGGGAGCAAACAGGAUUAGAUACCCUCGUAGUC
rnacentral:rRNA from 1 species